rnacentral:rRNA from 1 species
GACGAACGCUGGCGGCGUGCUUAACACAUGCAAGUCGAACGAAGAGCGAUGGAAGCUUGCUUCUAUCAAUCUUAGUGGCGCACGGGUGAGUAACGCGUAAUCAACCUGCCCUUCAGAGGGGGACAACAGUUGGAAACGACUGCUAAUACCGCAUACGAUCUAAUCUCGGCAUCGAGGAUAGAUGAAAGGUGGCCUCUACAUGUAAGCUAUCACUGAAGGAGGGGAUUGCGUCUGAUUAGCUAGUUGGAGGGGUAACGGCCCACCAAGGCGAUGAUCAGUAGCCGGUCUGGGAGGAUGAACGGCCACAUUGGGACUGAGACACCGCCCAGACUCCUACGGGAGGCAGCAGUGGGGAAUCUUCCGCAAUGGACGAAAGUCUGACGGAGCAACGCCGCGUGAGUGAUGACGGCCUUCGGGUUGUAAAGCUCUGUUAAUCGGGACGAAAGGCCUUCUUGCGAAUAGUGAGAAGGAUUGACGGUACCGGAAUAGAAAGCCACGGCUAACUACGUG